CUUUUGGUCGGAGUGGAGAUUGGGGACCCGAGCUCGCUGGUGACGUAGAUCUCACGUGACCAGGAGUCGACGUGUACCGAAGUCCUGCUAGUCUGGUCCUUGUUCGCGUCUGGGUAUCACCUUUUCUUUAGCAGGCAAACCGCAGAGCCUGAGGCCAGUGGAAAGAGGAGUUAACUUGACGGAAUUCUGCAGGUCUGUUAUUCUUAGCACUACACAAGGCUAGAAGAGGCAAGGAAGAAACUGUUCGGAUCAGUACAGGGUGAGUGAUCUCUCCCAGAAGACUGGUGACAGGCCCUCCUCACCAGUUCCACAGAUGCCUCUAGACCUGGAUGAAGCAGGCACUAGACUCUCCUUUGCUGAUGACCAGGCUGUCCUGGAUAUACUUACCUGGAGGAUGACAAAAGUCCCUAUAGCAGAGAGAGACAGAGAAUGAGCAGGGUAGGGGAAGAGAGAGAGAGAGAGACAGAAUCCAAAGCAGGCUCCAGGCUCUGAGCUGUCAGCACAGAGCCCGACGUGGGGCUCAAACUCAUGGAGUGUGAGAUCAUGACCUGAGCUGAAGUCGGAUGCUUAACCGUCUGAGCCACCCAGGUGCCCCAAAAGAUUCUUCUUUAAAUGUUUGGUAGAAUUCAGUAGUGAAGACAUGUAGGCCUACAUUUUCUUUGUAGGUAGUUUUAUUAUUAUUAUUAUUAUUAUUAUUACUUAUUCAAUCUCUUCACUUGCUAUAAAUUUCUUCAGAUUAUCUAUUUUUUUCUUGAGAUAGUUUGGCAGUUUGUGUAUUUCUGGUAAUUUGUCCAUUUCACCUAAGUUAUCUAAUAUAAUGGAAUACAGUAUUUUAUAUUAUUCCUUUAUGAUCCUUUUUCAUAUCGAUAAGGUCAGUAGUCAUGACCUUUUUUUAAAUUUCUGAUUCUAGUAAAUUGAGUUCUCUCUCUCUCUCCUCUCUCUCUCCCCACUCCUACCUCCAUCAGUCUAGCUAAAGUUUGUCAAUAUUAUUGAUCUUUUCAAAGAACCAGUUUUGGUUUCACUAGUUUUCUCUACUUGUUCCAUUCUCCAUCUCAUUAAUUCAUGCUUUACUUAUUAUUACCCCACUUUCUACUUGCUUUAUGUUUAGUUUGCUCUUUUUUCCCCACAGUGUCUUAAGGUGGAAAGUUAGGAUUUUGAUUUGAGACUUUUCUUCUUUUUUAAUAUAGACAUUUAAAACUAUAUAUUUCCCUCUAAGCUCCAUCCCAGAAGUUUGGAAUAUUGUAUAUCAUGAUACCAAAGUUCCAUUCCAUAAGCUUUGAUAUGCUGUAUGUUGUGUCUCAUUUUCAUUCAUUUCAAAGUAUUUUCUGAUUUCCUUUUUGAUUUGUUGUUUGAUGCACUGGCCAUUUAAGAAUGUUUUGCUUAAUGUCGAGAUAUCCAUGAGUUUCCUAUUUUUUUUCUGUUAUUGAUAUGAAAUAUUAUUCAAUUAUGGUCAAAGAACAUAUCUUGUAUCAUUCCUAACUGUUAAAUUUAUUUGAGGUUUGUUUUAUGGCCUAUCACGUGGUCUACCAUGAAUAAUGUUCCAUGUGUAUUUAAAAGAAUGUGCAUUAUGCUGUUGCUGAGUGGGAUAUUCAACAUAUCUAUUAGAUCUAGUUAGUACAUGGUGUUCUCAAGUCUUUUAUUUCCUGGUUGAUCUUCUUCCCAUUUGGUCUAUUUAUUAUCAAAAGUGGGGUAUUAAAGUCUCCCAACUAUUAUUGUUGAAUUGUCUAUUUUCCCUUCCUUUUUGUCACUUUUUUUCUCAUGUAUUUUGUUGCUUAUAAUUGUUAUAUAUUCCUUUUGGAUUGAGUCUUGUCAUUAUAAAAUGUCCCUCUUGCUUCUGGCUUUUGUUCUGGCAUUGGAAACAAAUCGGAACAAAUUCCAAGAACUUGGAAGCUGUCGCUCCAUCCUAACAACCAGUAAAACACUGAACAAACUGAAAAACAACUACUCUUCUUAGAUCCAUUAGAGAAUUGAGGUCACUGAGCAAAUCAUUGCUCUGAAAAAGGAGACACAGACAGGCAAAUACAGAGAAUUAUAAUUUGUUGGCACAAAAUCCAUGAACAGAAACUUCUUCAGGAAACCAGUACUGAGGUAGGAAAACCUAAACUAAAAUCAACAAAUUGCCAGAAGUUUAAUGUGGACAUGUCCAGAGAGGCCUAGUCUUAGGGGGUGCUUCCACACUUUUAUGAGUUUUACCUCCAGAAGCCCUGGGAGGUUCUCACAGUGAAGACUCUAGAAUAUCCUCUUGUGCUUCUGGCAAAGGGAGAGGAAAAGUAGCUGUUUUUUUUUUUUUUUAAUUUUUGAUAUUUAUUUAUUUUGAGAGAGAGAGAGAAAGAGUGUGAGCAGGCAAGGGGCCGAGAGAGGAAGACAUAGAAUCCAAAGCAGGCUUCAGGCCCUGAGCUGUCAGCACAGAGCUUGAUGUGGGGCUUGCACUCAUGAACCACGAGAUCAUGACAUGAACUGAAGUCGGAUGCUUAACCGACUAAGCCACCCUGGAGCUCCAAAAGGUAGCUGUUUGUAAAACAUGUGGAGCAUUCUAGUCUUUGUAAGAAGGCUUUCCCUCAAGAGAAACUGUUUCACCAAGCCUAACCUACUAGAAUUCUAACCUACUAGAAUUUUAUCAGAGCCCAGCUGACAUGAAGGAAGGGAAAUAUCCAAAUCCAAUCCCCUCUAUCCAUCCUGUCUCACCUAAGUAAAGGUGGGGUAGGCAACUGAGAAGCACUUGUGAAGGCCGCAGCCCUGACCAUACGCAGAUGUUAGGCUCAUCUAAUUUCCAGUUUCAAUAAUGCCUUUGGGCAUCAAUUGCUCUGUAGACUAAUGGAAUCAAAUUGGGUUCCUUUGAAGGAAGAGUUCCAAAGGUCAGUGUUUGAUAUUUGUUCCAAUCCAAGGAGGAAUACUCUUCCCAACCAUGUCCUUCUGUGGCUCUUUAAAACAAUAUAGCCAGGCCACAGUUAACUGGUAUCUUCAUCGAAUAUAUUAAUCACUUCCUAAAUGCCUCCGCCAUAACCAUCACUGUUUUUAGAGCACUUGUGGCUUGAAUCUCUCCAUGCUCUGUUCAAAAUUAAGUAAGUUUCAUCAGGAAAAUGUUAGAACCUAU